rnacentral:rRNA from 1 species
CGCAUCUGUGCAUGCAGCAUAUCAAUAAGCGGAGGAAAAGAAACUAACAAGGAUUCCCUUAGUAACGGCGAGUGAAGCGGGAAGAGCUCAAAUUUGAAAUCUUCAAGGUUUUACCUUGACGAAUUGUAGUUUAAAGAAGUGUUUUCUGUUGAAGUUUUGGUAAAAGUUCUUUGGAAUAGGACAUCAUAGAGGGUGAGAAUCCCGUAUUUGACCAUUAUUUUCAGCUGUGUGAUACACUUUCAAAGAGUCGGAUUGUUUGGGAAUGCAGUCCAAAAUGGGUGGUAAAUUUCAUCUAAAGCUAAAUAUUGGCGAGAGACCGAUAGCGAACAAGUAUCGUGAGGGAAAGAUGAAAAGAACUUUGAAAAGAGAGUUAAACAGUACGUGAAAUUGUCAAAAGGGAAGCGUUUGACACCAGUGUUGUUUUCUCGAAAAUCAAUUAAAAAGAGUUAGAUUUUGUUGUGUAUUGACCUUAACAGCUUGCAUUUCAAUUUUCUUGCUUUUUUUAAUGCACUUUUCGUUUAACAAGUCAACAUCAGUUUCUUUUGUUGUAAAAAGGUCAUUGGAAGGUGGCUUUCUUUUCGGAGAAAGUGUUUAUAGCCUUUGACUCCUGCAAUCGGAGAGACUGAGGUCUGCAGCGUAGAUCCUUCGGGGUUAGAUACAUUUGUGCUAAGUUAUAGCUUUUUAUAGACAACUUGUUGACUAUGAUUAGUCUUGUAGCUUACUCGCUUAUGCUAUUUUACCUACGCUUAGGAUGUUGACACACGCGCGUGCUCG